GCUUUGUACCGGGGUGGGAAAAACUUUCCCUGAGAUUACACCCGCAGGACUUCGUAUGAGGUUCCAACCUGAUCCGGAUAAUGCCGGCGGAGGAAGAUAUGCUUAGACACAU
rnacentral:ncRNA from 1 species